ACCUCCAUCCUUUAUUUUCAAUCUCUCUUCUUCCCCGAGCAGCAUGGCACUAUCUCUCCUUGUUUCACGUGCUUGGCAUUCUGUUGCUUCCAGUGAUAGCCUGUAGAGUUACAAGGUUGCUCAAAUUAUUGGGAAGCCAGACCUAACCCCUGCUGCAUGGGUGAGAAAGCUUGUUACUCUGUGUGAACAAGCCCCUGCAACACCAUUUGAUGUUGUUCAACUUGUUUUAGAUAAGGAGUUGGGUCUAAGUAUAGGCGAGAUUUUUGAAAAUUUUGACGUAAAUCCUAUUGGUUCGGCUUCAACUGCGCAGGUUCAUUGAGCAAGACUCAAGGGUGAUGUCAAAGAUGUUGUGAAGAUUGGGUAUGAAUUUGACUUUCUAAGAGAAGCCAAUGCUAUGGAUAGAAUUCACUGUUUCUUAUACGAAAACAACAAAAAAUCUCCAGUUCAGGUUCCGAGAGUGCUCAAGGAUUUGGUU